GACGAACGCUGGCGGCGUGCUUAACACAUGCAAGUCGAACGGAGAGGCCCUGCUUUUGUGGGGUGCUCGAGUGGCGAACGGGUGAGUAACACGUGAGUAACCUGCCCUUGACUUUGGGAUAACUUCAGGAAACUGGGGCUAAUACCGGAUAGGAGCUCCUGCUGCAUGGUGGGGGAUGGAAAGUUUCGGCGGUUGGGGAUGGACUCGCGGCUUAUCAGCUUGUUGGUGGGGUAGUGGCUUACCAAGGCUUUGACGGGUAGCCGGCCUGAGAGGGUGACCGGCCACAAUGGGACUGAGAUACGGACCAGACUCCUCCGCGAGGCAGCAGUGGAGAAUAUUUCACUAUGGGACGAAGCCUGAUGCAGCCACGCCGCGCGCGGGAUGACGGCCGUCCGGUUGUAAACCGCUUUCGCCUGUGACGAAGCGUGAGUGACGGUAAUGGGUAAAGAAGCACCGGCUAACUACGUG
rnacentral:rRNA from 1 species